rnacentral:rRNA from 1 species
CCUACGGGUGGCAGCAGUGGGGAAUAUUGCACAAUGGGGGAAACGCUGAUGCAGCGACGCCGCGUGAGUGAAGAAGUAUUUCGGUACGUAAAGCUCUAUCAGCAGGGAAGAAAAUGACGGUACCUGACUAAGAAGCCCCGGCUAACGACGUACCAGCAGCCGCGGUAAUCCGUAGGGGGCAAGCGUUAUCCGGAUUUACUGGGUGUAAAGGGAGCGUAGACGGCAGCGCAAGUCUGGAGUGAAAUCCCAUGGCUUAACCAUGGAACUGCUUUGGAAACUGUGCAGCUAGAGUGCAGGAGAGGUAAGCGGAAUUCCUGGUGUAGCGGUGAAAUGCGUAGAUAUUAGGAGGAACCCCAGUGGCGAAGGCGGCUUACUGGACUGUAACUGACGUUGAGGCUCGAAAGCGUGGGGAGCAAACAGGAUUAGAUACCCCUGUAGUC